rnacentral:lncRNA from 1 species
AUGAGGGCUGGUCUUCAGAUCAAGCUCUGCUGUGGGGAAAACCCACAUGCAUUCGUUCAGGCAAGAGCAUCCAACCCAGCUGGCGCUGCGGACGAGAAGGGGGCACAGAAACGGUGGGCCACAGGCAGCACCUUUGGGAGCGCACCAGGUUUAAACCCAAGGGUCACGGGGGAUCCCUGGGUGGCGCAGCGGUUUAGCGCCUGCCUUUGGCCCAGGGCGCGAUCCUGGAGACCCGGGAUCGAAUCCCACGUCGGGCUCCUGGUGCAUGGAGCCUGUUUCUCCCUCUGCCUGUGUCUCUGCCUCUCUCGCUCUCUCUGUGUGACUAUCAUAAAUAAAUAAAAAUUAAAAAAAUAAAUAAAUAAAAAUAAAUAAAUAAAUAAACCCAAGGGUCACGGCAGGAAAAGGCAAGCGGGGGGUGGAAACGUAUGAUGUGUGGCCUUGAACCAACAUUUACACCAAUAUCAAGAAUAUACAUCAUCAGUAAUCUCGUAUUCUCGUAUUCUACGUCCCCUACCCCACUGUCCUUUGUCAUAAAACACUAAGUCAAAAAUGCCCAUUGUUAUUGGUGGCAGUGGCAGGGAGGUGGGGGGCAGACAAAAGUCCCAGAGGCUACCAGCAGCUCUGGGCACAUGGGCCCUACUGGUUUUUUGCCUGUGGUGGUCACAUCGCCUCCCGGGCCGUGGCCCCAUGCGAUUCUGCCUGACCCAUGUUCCCGUCACCUGACAGCUCACAACCUUCUAGAACCCACGUACAGCUUACCUCCCUGGACGGAAAGAUGCAAGAUGUAGUCUCACCUUCAUCUGCAAGCAAACCAGAGCAAACAGUGUGUCUCUUCUGAGCUUCCAGCAGGACUGUAGCUUUCUAACUUAAUCCCAAUUAUGUGGAAAGAGAAAGGACAUCUAAGACCCCAAAUGCCAACAGAACCAAAGAUGAAGCCCUGAGGCUCAGCUAAUGUGCUUCUCAUUGCUGCCUCAGAAAACAAGGUGGUGUUCUAGGUCAAAUGCUGAGGGCUCUCUCAUUUUUUGAGGGCUUACAAUUAAUUGAGCACUUUCACCACCUUAUUUCAUGAUGUUCUCAUGUCAACUCCAUGUCCUAGUUAUCAGAUCUCCAUCCUCGAGAAGGGACAGCCAUCUGAGGUGGGUGAGUGAUGAUCUGUGGCUGAAAUCUGGCCUCCCCGCUUCCAGAUCCUGCUCUUUCUACUGGUCAUGUGGACGUACCCGCAGGCUCGGUAGGUAAAGCGUCACAUGCCACAAUGGAGAGGACAGGCCAGCGCUAUUUCCCCUGUGUAGAUGACCCCUAACACUUUUGUGACCUCCAUGGGGUUUUCCAUAUUUACCUUCCAGAGAACAGAGGCAAACAGUUUGCUAAAUUCCUGUGGAUCAAUACUAUUAAGUCAACCCUAAAAUGAGUGUGCACAGUAUGAUGCUUCCUGAGAUGACUCGCCCACAUAUGGGCCGGCCAACAACCCUGAAGACAUCUGUUUUCCCUGAGCCAUGCCCCGUUCCAUCCUCUGGGUUAAUCCCCCUGUAAGUCCUCCCGCCCAGUGCCCCCUGUGGGCUCACUACCUGCUGCCUGAGAGGGGGUCCCCACUAUGUGACUUCCUAUGUUUUCUUGGUGAAGACGUCCACACAUACACACAAGCCUGCAACAUGGCUGAGUGCCAGAGGUCAUUCAAGGUUAGGGGUUCGUCAGAAGCUAAAGAUUCACAGUGAAAGCGGUGCUCCAGAGAAGCGUCCUGGCCCACUCUUCCUAGCAAAGCUACCUACUCCUGCCACAGAUGAAGGAAUAGCACAUAAUUGGAGGGGAAUACAAGGUGUGCUGUAGGAGUUUGCAUAGACUCGAUAAUAUUCUGUCUGUCUGGCCUUUAUCCCCUCUUCCUGGAGCUGCAGAGAGGGCGCGGCCAAGGCUGCUGGGAAGGGGGGGUCAUGUUGAUUUCCCUACACAAAUAACACAUUUGUCAACGUGGGAAAAACUCAGAGAAGCUGACAUCCUUCCCAAACUACUGAUUUAAUAAACACAAUGGGCUGAAACAGUAAUCUACUCCUCAAACUCUGGGAGGUUGGACCCGCAUCACCCGCCAGCCAACAGACCUUGACUGUAGUUUCCAUCGGCAAUACUAAAGCCACCCAAAGACCAAGUGUCAGAGAAUAGGUGAGUUCAGAGGAAAACAUGGGUCCAGGGGGACAAAAGGAGCCAAUGGCAUAUAUCUCUGUCCAGGAUCCUGCACGUCCCUGAAAAGUAUCUUCUGCUGAGAAGGGGCUGUUGUCCAUCAGGCUUCCAGAACAUGGGGGAAGCACUCCUCACUGCCAUGUUUCCUUGCCUGUGUCCUAUGUUUCAGAAACAGUCUUCUGAUUCCCAGUGCAGUCACCGAGAGCCCCGCUACCACUGGGGACGGCAGCUCUCCUGCAGGCACAAAUCAGAGACCCAGGCAUUCUGGUUGCUGGAAAGGAAACCCCUUCCUGCAAAUCAUUCUGCUGGAAUUCUACUGAACAGGAGUCUGUCCCUCAGUGGACAAAGAAAAUCCAGGUGCUGGCCCUAAAAAUCCCAGGACUGAGCUACGGUAAGCCCUGAGCUCAGGGACACCUUGGAGGUGCCAGGGCCGUGUGAGACCACUGAAUUCCGAUGAGUGAGAACCCCCAUGCUCCCCUAAAAAACACCCUUUACACAUCAGAAUUCCUAGAAGUCACGCCUGCAUCAUGAGGAAUCCUUUGAGAAAGUCUUGCUGGGAAACAAUUUUUAAGUAUUUGGUUGCCCACAAAAAUAUCUGAUGGUUUCCCUUCCCCCCACCAUGGACUAAGUACCUACCAUGUAUUUAUGUGUAUGUACACGCACAGAUCACGUAUGUGUAUGUGUGUAUGUGCUCAUUCUUCCUGACUUGUUCCUUUUACCACCAUGUUUACAUGUCUCUGCACCAGGGGCCAAAAUCAGGUGCUCAAAGCAUCACCCAUGGUCUCAGCCACAACUCCCACCUGUAGGCACAGUGCCAUGGGGCAGACCACACCAUGGAUGACUCAAGGCAGGCCUGGUCACCCAGCUGUCCCCUGCUCUCAGCCCUCAGGCCGCGGAAGUCCAGCUGCCCACAGCAGGCCCCCAUCCCACCUCCUAGAGUGACAGUCCUCCUGGCUCUGCUGUGGCUUCCCGCCCGCGGACAUGUCCUGCUGCUCCCGGUUCUGUCAGGGCGUGGCUCCCAGCCUUCUCCUGCAUCCAGGAAAGUGCUCACCCAGCAGGUCCUCUUUCUCACUUGGGCCCUGGGGUGGGUCCGCAGAUGGUGAGGAGCCGGGAAGCAGGACAAUGUCCCUCCCAGGAGGAGGCUGGCAGAGAGCCGCAGCUAAUGAGCACUUCUGGCUGCAAGGACUUUCCAAAACAGCUGAAGGCGUGGGCAAGGACAGUCUCCCUGGCACAUGUCAGAUUUGCCUUUAAAGGAAUCCAACUGCCUUCAGGAAGAAACGUCCAAAGUACUUAGCCUGGUGAUCAAGGUUCUGCAGUUUCACCCUAGAACACCAUCCACGUGG